rnacentral:rRNA from 1 species
UACGUAGGGUCCGAGCGUUGUCCGGAAUUACUGGGCGUAAAGAGCUCGUAGGUGGUUUGUCGCGUUGUUCGUGAAAACUCACAGCUCAACUGUGGGCGUGCGGGCGAUACGGGCAGACUUGAGUACUGCAGGGGGAGACUGGAAUUCCUGGUGUAGCGGUGAAAUGCGCAGAUAUCUGCAGGAACACCCGUGGCGAAAGCGGCGCGCUGGACCACUACUGACGCUGAGGAACGAAAGCUAGGGGAGCAAACAGG